GUGAGGAAUUUUCCGCAAUGGGCGAAAGCCUGACGGAGCAAUGCCGCGUGAAGGAUGAAGGCCUAUGGGUUGUAAACUUCUUUUCUCAGAAAAGAAUUAUGACGGUAUCUGAGGAAUAAGCAUCGGCUAACUCUGUGCCAGCAGCCGCGGUAAGACAGAGGAUGCAAGCGUUAUCCGGAAUGAUUGGGCGUAAAGCGUCUGUAGGUUGUUUAAAAAGUAUUCUGUCAAAGAUUAGGGCUUAACCCUAGAUAGGCAGAAUAAACUUUUAAGCUAGAGUUUGGUAGAGGCAGAGGGAAUUCCCGGUGGAGCGGUGAAAUGCGUAGAUAUCGGGAGGAACACCAAAGGCGAAGGCACUCUGUUGGGCCAAUACUAACACUGAGAGACGAAAGCGAGGGGAGCAAAUGGGAUUAGAUACCCGGGUAGUCC
rnacentral:rRNA from 1 species